rnacentral:ncRNA from 1 species
CUAUCUGGAUAAAUUUUAAAUACUAGAUAUGACAUCAAAAUAACAGGGGUCGAGGUCAGCUAGUGAGACGACGCAAUAAGCUUCAUCGUCGAGAGGGAAACAACCCGGAUCACCAACUAAGGCCCCUAAAUGACCUCUCAGUGAUAAAAGGAGUAGGGGGAGACAGCCAGGAAGUUUGCCUAGAAGAAGCCACCCUUGAAAGAGUGCAUAAUAACUCACUGAUCGAGCGCUCUUACGCUGAAGUUGAACCAAGCUAAGCGAUCUGCCAAAGCUGUGGGAUGUAAAAAUGCAUCAAUAGGGGAGCGUUCCGCCUUAGGGGGAAGCACCCACGUGAGCGGGAGUAGACGAAGCGGAAGCG